UACAGAGGGCGCGAGCGUUGUCCGGAAUCACUGGGCGUAAAGGGCGCGUAGGUGGCGGCAUAAGGCCGCGGUGAAAGGCUGGGGCUCAACCCCAGCUCGGCCGCGGCGACUGUGUCGCUCGAGCACGGUAGAGGCAGAUGGAAUUCCGGGUGUAGCGGUGGAAUGCGCAGAUAUCAGGAGGAACACCGGUGGCGAAGGCGGGUCUCUGGGCAGUAACUGACGCUGAGGAGCGAAAGCGUGGGGGAGCGAACAGG
rnacentral:rRNA from 1 species